AGCCCGAGUGCCUUAGCAACCACAUAGGAACACCCUAGCAACCACCCAGAAUUCCUUAGCAACCGUAUAGCAACACCUUAGCAACCACCCUGAGUACCCUAGCAACCACAUAGCAACACCCUAGCAACCACCCCGAGUACCCUAGCAACCGUAUAGCAACACCUUAGCAACCACCCUGAGUACCCUAGCAACCGCAUAGCAACACCCUACCAACCAUCCAAAAUACCUUAGCAACCACAUAGCAACACCCUAGCAACCACCCCUAGUACCUUAGCAACCACAAAGCAAAACCCCAGCAACCAUAUAAAACCCUUGCAACCACUCAGAGUACCCUGACUCUAUCUAUCUAUCUAUCUAUCUAUCUAUCUAUCUAUCUAUCUGUCUGUCUGUCUGUCUGUCUUUUAAACUACUAAACUAAAACUUAAACUUUCAAACUUUCAAACUUCAAACUUUUAAAACUACUUCAAACUUUCUGGACCGGCUUUUUCAAGCCAACUUAAAGUUUGUCUAAAAACUUUUUUAUUUUAUUAUUAUUAUUAUUUUUUUUUUUUAUUUUUUUUUACACACAUUAUAUGACUGUCUUUAAUUUUAAGUUACAUAAAAAUUGACAAUUACAAUUCUCAACCGCUAGAUGGCAACUGUGGCUCUACUGAGACAUGACUACUGGCAACGCGAGACUUGUUAGUUAGUAGAGAUCACUGUUCCCAGAUCUCGCGAUGAACAUUUCCACCAUUUUACAACUGUCGGACAGCAAGCAAGAGCAAAUGUUGAAGCAAAUUCUUUCCUGCUUUUGGUCUUGCUAUUUUCUUACUCAUAGUUUUCAGUCAGGCGACUGGAGCAGAGACCUGGAGGGCAAAACAUCCAUAGAACUGCAGGACAGGCCUGUCAAUUGCGUCUCAAAAAAGGCAAUAUCAACACCAUACAACAGGCCCUGCUCUCCUCACCAAGAACAACACCCGAGCCAUCACGGACAUGGAAAGGUCUUGACACCUUGCCAAGAGCUGGAUUUUUUUGAGACGCUAGGGAGGACUACAGAGCAAAUAUACACACAUUCAUUGAUGACACAGCAACAUUUAGAUCAUUUCUCUUUUAAGUUGCAGGACGCAUGAUAGGACACUCUUUCCAACAUGGUGGACCUCGGAUGGCUGGAGUCAGCCAAGCAAUAGUCCAUGUACUUCUAGGAGGUUCACCCGAGACUGACUGCAUCCAGCUCUGACCUUGAGCACUUAGUAAAGUUGUGGCUGGGGUGGGAAGUGCCAGAUGGAAAGAUGGCAGUGAAAGUUGUUAAUGCUGACAUGCCGAAGUCCUCCACUUGCUUCAACAUGCUACGCUUACCAGAAGAAGACCCAGGACUCGGCCUAACUCUUUAGCCAUGAUGCCGCCCAGUGUUUUAUUGUAUAUAUUUUUACUGUUUUCGUAUUGUAUAUAGUGUUCUUAAUAAAAUUUUCAACCCAUUGUUUAAUUUAGCUCUUUUCUUUUAUUAGUACCAACAAAGCACAGCAUAAAAAUGAAUAAUAAAUUAAUUGUCAACAUGAAGCAAUAUAAAAAUGAGAGCAAAACUGAUGAUGGAAAACUGAUGUUGUGUUGCCUGAAUCACUGGGGAAAGAGUUAAUAAUUUGACUAUUGUUUUCAUGGAUAAAUAUUUCAUAAUCUUUAUUAUAUGAUUUAAUGUAUGAUUAUAAUAUUUAUACUGAAUAAUAACACUGCUACAAAUAAAAGAUGAGAAUGAAAUGAAACCGUAGGUUAAAGGAAAUUUUAUUUUGGGAAUACAGAACUAUAUACAAAGCACAUAAUGAUUAAUAAAAUAACGAAACAAUACAAACAAUCACAAUAACAUAAGAAAAAAAAAAAAAAACCUCUUAGGAAACACAGAAUUAACUAUAUACAAGAAAGAACAGCAUGUCUAAAUGUUUUGAACAAUGAACAAAAUGAACAAAAAUGCUCAAUUAACUCCCCAUCACUCAUGGUUCCACCUGCAGCCGGUUUAGGAGGAAGGAGGAGCCAAUAAGAUGAGGAAGAUCUCCCUCAUCACCAGACGACACACUGCCCAGUGUCCUGCAAAAUAACACAAUACAACAGCUGUAA